GCUUCAGGCUGCUGAUCAAGAUUAUAUUUAUAGUCAGAGAAAAGGAAGUAAGAUAAAGGAAUCGUACAUGAGGCAGAGACGAUCUGACAGCCACAGCUUGUGUCUGUCUUAUUUGAAAUGUUUGGCUGGCUGGCUGGCUGGCUGUUGGUGACAGGCGAAUGCUCUAUAACUUACACAAGUCUUGGGGGUGUAAACGUUUCCUGACAUGCUUGGCUUUUUAUGAGGAUGCUGGCCAUUCAGACUCAGGUCCUCAUGUUUGUGCAGCAAGAGCUCUUGCCCACCAAGUCAUUUCUCCAGCCCCCUAAUGAUAAAGAAAUUCAGCUGGAAAAGAAGAGAGUUUUCUGGGGAUACGCUGGGGUGGUCAUUUCCCGCCACAUGAAAUGUAUCUCCUAGCCCUGAACUACACACUUGAAAGCAAUUAAAGUUUUUGUUACAUGU
rnacentral:lncRNA from 1 species